rnacentral:tmRNA from 1 species
GGGGGCGAUUGGUUUCGACGAGGGUGUUGAAGCCCUGGUUGCAUGUCGCGGGUCCCAGUCAUCGCGUUAAAACGGCUGGAAAAACUAGACGCCAACGACGACGUCGAACUCGCUCUCGCUGCGUAAGCAGUCCUGAGAGCCGUCUGCCGGAUCUUUGUCUGCGGGAUCCUGGUGGGCGUCACUACAGCAGGCUGGUGAAGGGGAGCCGCUCGGCGCGACCCGACACGAGACUUCAGUCGAGCUCCCAGAAGGCUGCCUGCUGGUGGGCGGGCCUGACGGUAAAACAGUACAUCAGAUAAGCAUGUAGACGCCUGCGGUGGACCACUUUCGGACCCGGGUUCGACUCCCGGCGCCUCCAUUU